AAAGCUGACGGAUUACGCCGCGUGAGUGAUGAAGGUUUUCGGAUCGUAAAACUCUGUUGUUAGGGAAGAACAAGUGCAUAGUAACUGAUGGCACCUUGACGGUACCUAACCAGAAAGCCACGGCUAACUACGUGCCAGCAGCCGCGGUAAUACGUAGGUGGCAAGCGUUGUCCGGAAUUAUUGGGCGUAAAGCGCUCGCAGGCGGUUCUUUAAGUCUGAUGUGAAAUCUUACGGCUCAACCGUAAACGUGCAUUGGAAACUGGGGAACUUGAGUGCAGAAGAGGAGAGUGGAAUUCCACGUGUAGCGGUGAAAUGCGUAGAGAUGUGGAGGAACACCAGUGGCGAAGGCGACUCUCUGGUCUGUAACUGACGCUGAGCGAGCGAAAGCGUGGGGAGCGAACAGGAUUAGAUACCCUGGCUAGUCCACGCCGCUAAACGAUGAGUGCUAGGUGUUAGGGGGUUUCCGCCCCUUAGUGCUGAAGUUUACGCAUUAAGCACUC
rnacentral:rRNA from 1 species